GGGUUCGUAGCUCAGUUGGUUAGAGCGCGUCGUUGACAUCGACGAGGUCAGAAGUUCGAAUCUUCUCGGACCCACGA
rnacentral:tRNA from 1 species